rnacentral:rRNA from 1 species
CAGCCGCCGCGGUAAUACGUAGGUGGCAAGCGUUGUCCGGAAUUAUUGGGCGUAAAGGGCUCGCAGGCGGUUUCUUAAGUCUGAUGUGAAAGCCCCCGGCUCAACCGGGGAGGGUCAUUGGAAACUGGGAAACUUGAGUGCAGAAGAGGAGAGUGGAAUUCCACGUGUAGCGGUGAAAUGCGUAGAGAUGUGGAGGAACACCAGUGGCGAAGGCGACUCUCUGGUCUGUAACUGACGCUGAGGAGCGAAAGCGUGGGGAGCGAACAGGAUUAGAUACCCCAGUAGUCCCUGUCUCUUAUAU